GGUUUCCAUCAUUGCUAUGGUGGUUACUAUGGACUCUGCUGUCGCUGAUGUACUUCCACCAGUUUUUUCUUCUUCUUUUUUUAUUGCCAACCUUCUCCUGCUUCAGGUAAGAACGCAACUGUGUUAGUAAAUCAGAAAUGCAAUGAGCUAUAUUGCCUUGACACCAAUCAGUUUUGUCAAUAACAAAGUUUGACAAAUUUAGAUAGAUAGAUGUACUUUAUUGAUUGUGACUAGACUAGGCUUUCUUGAUUGUGCUCUCACUCUACUUUUAUUACUGUUUUACAGAUGACCAGUUUCUCUCAUCUCUCAGUCCCUCUACCUUCCUUUACACAACCAACGGCUCUUUUAAGAGCCAACCAUUUGUCAACAACAAUAUCAGAGGCAAGCUGGGACAGAAGUCUAUACCAUAUAGGGUGCACUUUCCCCACAGAUCAGAGAUGGAGGAUUGAGCAUCUUUUAGUUUUGCUGUUUCGGCACUAUGGCAGCAGAUGAGGCUACCCUUAAGGAGCUGAUCAGAAAGGCACAGAGCCUGGCAGAGCAUCUCAACUCACUAGUCGAGCCUGCACAGGUGAACAAAAGAAGAUCAAAACCACCAGUCCAGAUCUGAUGGAGAAAGCGGGAUAAAGAUGGCAGCAUUAUUGCCCAGACCAUCAAGUCCUCUUCAUCCAAAUCCCGUGGUGGAAGGCCCAGAUGACUUUACCUCAGUGUUCCUGAGGGGACAUCAGUGGAGAUGCCUGAUGAGGAAGAGGCAGGACUCAAAUAUUGCCAAUGGAAAUGCCACACCAGAUUUGUGACUCCCCCCCAGAGAAUGUGUCUGUCAUUGCUGGGAGGCCUGUGGUGUUCAUCAACAUGAAAGGACGAGAUGAUCUGACCCUCCCAGAGCUGUGAUGUGGUGGCUGCUGUGCCAGCUGGACCCCAGGGCUGUACCAUGUCCAAGUCAGUGGCUACUGGCCUGCCACCAUCCAUUUCCAUACCAUCUAUGAUGUAGCUAUGAUUCAAGCUUUACGGGAGAUGAAGUUGGCUGCUCCAGGGAUUUCCCGCCUGACCUUUAUGAGAAUGCUGGAAGCACAAACAACAGUGUAUGGCAGGACUGGUAAAGUUUGCUCAGACACAUUUUUCCAGAGCUUCAUGGAGCGGGUCAUCAGCUCCUACGAAGUGGACAAGUUGUGCUCAGAGCAACCAUUCGCCUGCACAACCUGUCCCCUCAGAUGUUGGCUGUGUCUGUGGAUGGAAACAGGAAGCACUACUGCUUCAAAAAGGGUGGACAGUCAGUGUAUAUUUCAUGUUUCAUGGUCUAGGCAUGUCCAUGUCUCAGCUCUCAUUUGUUACACCACUCUGAGGAAGGGGGUUAUUUUGACGGUGUGCUCAUCUGCAAGGAUAACGAGGUUGCAGUAUUUGCGGACGACCUCCAAAAGAGGGCCAAGCAUUUGCCAGGUAAAGGUGUUUGUGGCAGGUCUCAGCUGAACGCAGCAAAGGAGACAACAAGCAAGAGGGCUUGUUCCAGCCUUGAUGAGCAAGGUCUAAAGUAGCAGUGUGCCGUCGUGGCAUUAUCCUUCGGGCCCUGAAUAUGUACAGGCAA